UCCCUCUUAGUUCAGUUGGUAGAGCGCGUCACUAGUAUAAAGAGGUUUCUUGAGGUUAUGACGAGGUCAGUCGUUCAAGUUGGCUAGAGGGAA